GGGAGUCGGUCCUGCCGGCCAGGCCUGCUGGACACUCCUGCCGGCCAGGCCUGCUGGACCGACGCCC
ensembl:miRNA